ensembl:miRNA mdo-mir-222a mdo-mir-222a
UGUAGAUACUGUCUCUUUCCAUCAGCAGCUACAUCUGGCUACUGGGUCUCUGAUGGCAUCUUAGAGCU